GUACUCAUGCUUUACAUAUGUGUGCCAAUUUUCGAGCAUGUACGUGAAACACAGCUUGAGGGCUGUUGAUUUUUUUACGAUAGGUGGUGCUGUCGAGCCAUUUUGCCACACCCUCUUCUGAAACCUAUAUCAGACGUAAAUUUUCACCAGGUCUGACGCGUGUGCAAAGUUUCAGGACUUUUCGAGCAUGUUUAUGCCCUCAAAAAUGCGAUUCAUUUUGGAGAAGAAGAAGAAGAAGAAGAAGAAGAAGAAGAAGAAGAAGAAGAAGAAGAAGAAGAAGAAGAAGAAUAAACAAAGCAGAUACAAGAGGGUCCUCACACCAUCGGUGCUCGGGCCCUAAUAAUAAACAAAGCAGAUACAAUAGGGUCCUCACACCAUCGGUGCUCGGGCCCUAAAUAUAGCUGCAAGCAGCGAUGGCGGGCUCAAGCCAUCAGUGCAAACGCCACCCCUGUGGCAUCGGGAAAACUGUGCCCACCUGGCACAUGCAUUUACAGUAACUCUCUGGCAGUCUGGUUUUAAAGGAUUUGG
ensembl:lncRNA